UUGGGAGUGUUCGAGAGGCCUCCCAAUCUCUUUCCGUAUAUUUAGUUCUAGAAAGAGAUUAAUACCACAAUUUAAAAUAUUCGAAUGAAUAGUAGAAUAUGUUUACCUUGAAGUAACAAGGUACUCAAGAGCCUUGAGCCAGAGUGGAAAAUUCUGAGCCACUGAUCA
rnacentral:sRNA from 12 species